CCUACGGGAGGCAGCAGUGGGGAAUUUUGGACAAUGGGCGAAAGCCUGAUCCAGCCAUGCCGCGUGAGUGAAGAAGGCCUUCGGGUUGUAAAGUUCUUUUAGUCGGAAAGAAAGAGUUGCAAUGAAUAAUUAUGAUUUAUGACGGUACCGACAGAAAAAGCACCGGCUAACUACGUGCCAGCAGCCGCGGUAAUACGUAGGGUGCGAGCGUUAAUCGGAAUUACUGGGCGUAAAGGGUGCGCGGGCGGUCUUGCAAGUCAGAUGUGAAAGCCCCGGGCUUAACCUGGGAAUUGCGUUUGAAACUACAAGGCUAGAGUGCAGCAGAGGGGGGUGGAAUCCCAUGUGUAGCAGUGAAAUGCGUAGAGAUGUGGAAGAACACCGAUGGCGAAGGCAGCUYCCUGGGUUGACACUGACGCUCAUGCACGAAAGCGUGGGGAGCAAACAGGAUUAGAUACCCUGGUAGUCCACGCCCUAAACGAUGUCAACUAGUUGUCGGAUCUAAUUAAGGAUUUGGUAACGUAGCUAACGCGUGAAGUUGACCGCCUGGGGAGUACGGUCGCAAGAUUAAAACUCAAAGGAA
rnacentral:rRNA from 1 species